UGGGGAAUUUUCCGCAAUGGGCGAAAGCCUGACGGAGCGAUACCGCGUGUCGGAUGAAGGCCUUAGGGUUGUAAACGACUGUCGGAGGGGAAGAAAAAAAUGACGGUACCCUCAAAGGAAGCACCGGCUAACUCUGUGCCAGCAGCCGCGGUAAGACAGAGGGUGCAAGCGUUGUCCGGAAUUAUUGGGCGUAAAACGUCUGUAGGCGGUUCAUUAAGUCUAAAGUUAAAUUGUCGAGCUCAACUUGGCUUCGCUUUGGAUACUGAUGAACUAGAGUGCGUUAGGGGUUAUUGGAAUUCCCGGUGUAGUGGUGAAAUACGUAGAUAUCGGGAGGAACUCCAGUGGCGAAAGCGAAUAACUGGGGCGUAACUGACGCUGAGAGACGAAAGCGUGGGGAGCA
rnacentral:rRNA from 1 species